rnacentral:rRNA from 1 species
CAGGUAGGACUACCCGCUGAACUUAAGCAUAUCAAUAAGGCGGGAG